UACGUAGGGUGCAAGCGUUAAUCGGAAUUACUGGGCGUAAAGCGUGCGCAGGCGGCUUUGCAAGACAGAUGUGAAAUCCCCCGGGCUUAACCUGGGAACUGCAUUUGUGACUGCAUGGCUGGAGUGCGGCAGAGGGGGAUGGAAUUCCGGCGUGUAGCAGUGAAAUGCGUAGAUAUGCGGAGGAACACCGAUGGCGAAGGCAAUCCCCCUGGGCCUCACUGACGCU
rnacentral:rRNA from 1 species